ensembl:lncRNA
AGUUUGGAGUUGAGAGAGUUGAGAGCCUCCUUUGGAAAGGAAAGGCUGAAGUACUGCACGCAGGAGUGUUGGUGGGAAAUGUUUUGGGGCAGGGUGUUUACAAAAUCCAACUGAACUCAUGAGUGGUUUCUUGUCCCCCAAACAGUAUUUUUUAGCAAAUGUAUAACUUACUAGGGAAACUUUUUUAAAAUCCAAAUGUUCUAUGAAAUGUCUUUCAUUGAAUUUGUAACAGCUAGCUAAAGAAAUAUAUUCUGCCCAUAAAUUAUAAUAAUUAAAGAUGGCCCCCAAAAGAGUUGAGGUAAGUUAAGGAGGGGGCCUUGACUUUCUUAGCUGGAGGAGAAGGAGNNNNNNNNNNNNNNNNNNNNGGUGAUGGCAUCCCUGUGUGGUUAUGAUGCUGUUAGACUUCGUGAAGCCCCAUCAACAACAAGUUGGCUCUGGGCAAAACUACAAGCUGCAGCUUCAGCCUAUGGUGUGGAAAAUGUCCAGAGCUGGUACAACACCAGGGGAAGAAGUGAUGGGCAUCGAUGGCAAGGGCGCUGCAGCAGCACCCAGCAGACCCAGCUGGCUUGGUGGGCUGUGGUGAGCCAUGGAGACUCAAGAAUCAAUUCUACUUUAAAAACCAUCUCCCCGUCAAAUACUGCUGCCAGGUCUCAAGACAACAUAUGGAAGGAAAUAUUUAAAAAUAUCAGAUUUUGCUAAUUGUGUAUGUGUGGACAUGUGAGAUUUUAUAUAUAUAAAUAUAUAUAAAAUCAUAAACCCCACUGAACCUUCAAAAUGGAACUACCUCUAGGUAAGAAAUACAAGACCUUUUUAAUACACGUAAAGGGUUUAUUUAUACCUGAGACAUUUUUGCAUAUUGAUGUCUUUGUACCUUUACCUGUAGGUACUCACAAAAGUCCUUUACUCUUUUCUGGGAUCUCACACAAAACCCACCAGAGUUAGGUGGGUUCUCCCCUCUAACUCAGUGGAGUUUGGCUGAGCCCUUCCUUAUCUAACCUGGAUGUAUAAACAGAGAUGUAAGAGGAGUGAAAUAUAUAUAUUUAAAUGAACAGUUGCUGUACAAGUGGACAGGCUGGUUUAUAUAAAUCCAGAGCUAGUUCAUCAUUUUCACAAUGUCUGGUUCAAAAAAAGAAUUAUAGUCCUUCAUGCAGGGUGAUUCACGUUUCUACUUCUUGGUUCAAACAAACAAAACCACAACAACUUUGAAGUAUUUCUCCAGGUCACUGGAUAUACACGGUACGUUGCAAAUGCCCCUUCGUGGACGUUUCCUGGUUCUGGAGAUCAACCCAUUUCUCCACCGAGUGAGCAAGGGAACCAGGAGUGGAGGAGUAAUAAGUUGAUGUAGCUACAUUACAUUAAGGUCACAGGUCAAUGCUGAUGGACUAAGGUAUUCAAGCAAAUUUAGGGAGCCCAGGAGCCCAAUUUCUCCUGAAAAUGAAGGCGUGUGGAUGCCUAACUCCUGCAGAUUCAUCUAAAACUCCCAGCUGUGCACAAUCCAGCUUGCAGCUCUUCAGCCCUGCCUGUCACUUGUGCUGAGUGUUGAAGCACAAGCGAUAGCAGGGCCACAACCUAAGCAAGGCUCUUACAGAAUUUCACAGUGCUAUUUAUUUUGGUAAAUAUAAACUAAAGGUAAAGGUACCUUCUGAAUUAUAAACAGCUCAACUGAAAAAAACAAUAAAAAAUCCACUGUGUUUCA